CAUACAUUUACAUGAUACCAAGCUGGUAUAGACACUAGAGAUAUAGAGUAGAGUACAGAGCACAGAGCAGACUCGAUACCUACCAACUAUUGAGUAUAGUAGUAUAUAGUCACACAAUUUACAUUAGCUGAGUAGAAAGAAAACAAAUUACUCGACAGUGUAACUUAGGAAGACGACUCUUCUUCAAGGGCAAUAAUUGAAUGGAUUCAAUUGGAAUGAGACAAAAAAGGUGAUGCAUUGCGGCUCCGGGCUCCAGUACUGAACCUACGCCCAAAAGAUCUAACAGAAUCGAUAGGUGAGCACAGUCUACGGUCUAUAGACACACGGAAAAAUUCCUACCUAUACCAAUCCAACGUGAGAUGUGAGAGAAAUAAAUCUCUCGUAGAACUGAGGUGAGUAAAGGUGUUGCAGUUGCAAGAGCCACACAUCGACACCGAGUAUAACACACGUCUAUGAAAUAAUAGCCGAAGAUAAUGAGGAGUAUCAACAAAUAAGCAUCAUCUCAGUGUAGAAGCAUGCAUACAACUCUAACAACAAAGUAUAAGAGCAAUAUAAGUAAUGUUAAUCAAUAAUCGUUUAUCGU